AAGUCGUAACAAGGUUUCCGUAGGUGAACCUGCGGAAGGAUCAUUAGCAUACGCGUUGACCCGUGUGAUGUAAAAAUCUCUCGGGCCCAACAGCGCCAAACCAUGUGAACCUGGAAUGUAUAUAGCUGUGCGGCGAGGAGCGCGCUGACGAGAGAUGGGGGGUUUGCUGCUUGCAUAUUCUUCUCUCUUGAAUGUGUGUGGGUGCGCCGCAUGGUCAACUAAACCUGUAACUUUUAUAAUUACACAAACAACCAUAUUAACUAAAUACACAACUUUUAACAAUGGAUCUCUUGGCUCCU
rnacentral:misc_RNA from 1 species